rnacentral:rRNA from 1 species
AAAUGGACUCUCAGCAACGGAUAUCUUGGCUCUUGCAACGAUGAAGAAMCGCAA